CAGUCGCCGCGGUAAUACGUAGGUCCCGAGCGUUGUCCGGAUUUAUUGGGCGUAAAGCGAGCGCAGGCGGUUAGAUAAGUCUGAAGUUAAAGGCUGUGGCUUAACCAUAGUACGCUUUGGAAACUGUUUAACUUGAGUGCAAGAGGGGAGAGUGGAAUUCCAUGUGUAGCGGUGAAAUGCGUAGAUAUAUGGAGGAACACCGGUGGCGAAAGCGGCUCUCUGGCUUGUAACUGACGCUGAGGCUCGAAAGCGUGGGGAGCAAACAGGAUUAGAUACCCGCGUAGUCCCUGUCUCUUAUACU
rnacentral:rRNA from 1 species